GUCCUCAGUACACGGAUGCCCCAUCCGCACUAUAAUUUUCUAUGUUCAGUGAACCAUAAAAAUGGGCGAAAUUCUCUAAUUUGUUAUUAAAAUUAGAAAGAUCAUAUCAUAGGGAACAUGUAUACUAAGUUUCAAGUUGAUUUGACUUCAAUUAUAUCAAAAACUACCUCGACCAAAAACUUUAACCUGAAGCGGGAAGAACGGACGGAUGAACGAACGGGAGGACAGACGGAAGGACGGACAGACGGACAAAUAGACAGUACCGGACGGACGGACGGACAACGGUUUACCAAAAUACGUCCCGAAAAGAUAGAUAU
rnacentral:lncRNA from 1 species